rnacentral:rRNA from 1 species
GACGAAUGCUGGCGGCGUGCUUAACACAUGCAAGUCGAACGGAAAGGCCCUGCUUGCAGGGUACUCGAGUGGCGAACGGGUGAGUAACACGUGGGUGAUCUGCCCUGCACUUCGGGAUAAGCCUGGGAAACUGGGUCUAAUACCGGAUAGGAGCCAUCUUUAGUGUGAUGGUUGGAAAGUUUUUUCGGUGUAGGAUGAGCUCGCGGCCUAUCAGCUUGUUGGUGGGGUAAUGGCCUACCAAGGCGGCGACGGGUAGCCGGCCUGAGAGGGUGGACGGCCACAUUGGGACUGAGAUACGGCCCAGACUCCUACGGGAGGCAGCAGUGGGGAAUAUUGCACAAUGGGCGCAAGCCUGAUGCAGCGACGCCGCGUGGGGGAUGACGGCCUUCGGGUUGUAAACUCCUUUCGCUAGGGACGAAGCUUUUGUGACGGUACCUAGAUAAGAAGCACCGGCUAACUACGUG